AGGACGAACGCUGGCGGCGUGCCUAACACAUGCAAGUCGAGCGGAGUCGAUCGACGGAAGCCUUCGGGCGGAAGAUGGUUGACUUAGCGGCGGAUGGGUGAGUAACGCGUGGGCAACCUGCCUCGAAGACCGGGAUAACAGCCCGAAAGGGCUGCUAAUACCGGAUGUGGUCAAGGAUCCGCAUGGAUUUUGAUUAAGGGGAAACCCGUUUCGAGAUGGGCCCGCGUCCUAUCAGCUAGUUGGUGAGGUAAAAGCUCACCAAGGCGACGACGGGUAGCCGGCCUGAGAGGGUGACCGGCCACACUGGAACUGAGACACGGUCCAGACUCCUACGGGGGGCAGCAGUGGGGAAUCUUCCACAAUGGGCGAAAGCCUGAUGGAGCGACGCCGCGUGAGCGAAGAAGGCCUUCGGGUUGUAAAGCUCUGUCUGGAGGGACGAAGGAAGUGACGGUACCUCCGGAGGAAGCCACGGCUAACUACGUG
rnacentral:rRNA from 1 species